GAGUGCCAGUCGUCCCCCUGCUCCUCCGGCUCCACCUGCGUGGACCAAAUCAAUGGCUACCGCUGCGUCUGUCCCGCAGGGAGGACGGGUCCCCGCUGCCAAGAAGUGACGGGGAGGCCGUGCGUGGUCGCAGGCCGGGCGGCUCCGGAUGGAAGCAGAUGGGAUGAAGAGUGUAACAGCUGCCGCUGCAACGACGGGAGGAUCAGCUGCAGUGAGCGGCCGUGUGGCCCGCGGCCCUGCAGCCUCCACGCCGCGCCCCGCGGCGCCGGGUGUCCGGCCGGUCAGACCUGCGUCGCCGUGCGGGAGGAGCGCUGCUUCGUGAAGCCCUGCCGCAGCCAGGGGGAGUGCUGGAGCCCCGCCCACCGGGCCCCGCCCACAGCCAGGUGUCACUCCGAGAGCCGCUGCGCCAACGUCACCUUCACCUUUAACAAGGACGUCAUGGCAACGGUC